rnacentral:rRNA from 1 species
CAGCCGCCGCGGUAAUACGAAGGGGGCUAGCGUUGUUCGGAAUUACUGGGCGUAAAGCGCACGUAGGCGGACAUUUAAGUCAGGGGUGAAAUCCCGGGGCUCAACCCCGGAACUGCCUUUGAUACUGGGUGUCUAUAGUAUGGAAGAGGUGAGUGGAAUUCCGAGUGUAGAGGUGAAAUUCGUAGAUAUUCGGAGGAACACCAGUGGCGAAGGCGGCUCACUGGUCCAUUACUGACGCUGAGGUGCGAAAGCGUGGGGAGCAAACAGGAUUAGAUACCCCCGUAGUCCCUGUCUCUUAUAC